rnacentral:rRNA from 1 species
GACGAACGCUGGCGGCGUGCCUAAUACAUGCAAGUAGAACGCUGAAGGAGGAGCUUGCUUCUCUGGAUGAGUUGCGAACGGGUGAGUAACGCGUAGGUAACCUGCCUGGUAGCGGGGGAUAACUAUUGGAAACGAUAGCUAAUACCGCAUAAUAGCAGUUGUUGCAUGACAACUGUUUGAAAGGUGCAAUUGCACCACUACCAGAUGGACCUGCGUUGUAUUAGCUAGUUGGUGGGGUAACGGCUCACCAAGGCGACGAUACAUAGCCGACCUGAGAGGGUGGUCGGCCACACUGGGACUGAGACACGGCCCAGACUCCUACGGGAGGCAGCAGUAGGGAAUCUUCGGCAAUGGACGGAAGUCUGACCGAGCAACGCCGCGUGAGUGAAGAAGGUUUUCGGAUCGUAAAGCUCGGUUGUAAGAGAAGAACGAGUGUGAGAGUGGAAAGUUCACACUGUGACGGUAUCUUACCAGAAAGGGACGGCUAACUACGUG